rnacentral:rRNA from 1 species
AUACGGAGGGGGCUAGCGUUGUUCGGAAUUACUGGGCGUAAAGCGCGCGUAGGCGGUUUGUUAAGUCGGAUGUGAAAGCCCUAGGCUCAACCUGGGAACUGCAUUCGAUACUGGCAGACUAGAGUAUGGUAGAGGUAAGUGGAAUUCCAGGUGUAGCGGUGAAAUGCGUAGAUAUCUGGAGGAACAUCAGUGGCGAAGGCGACUUACUGGACCAAUACUGACGCUGAGGUGCGAAAGCGUGGGGAGCAAACAGGAUUAGAAACCCCAGUAGUCC